rnacentral:rRNA from 1 species
UAGGGAAUCUUCGGCAAUGGGGGGAACCCUGACCGAGCAACGCCGCGUGAGUGAAGAAGGUUUUCGGAUCGUAAAGCUCUGUUGUUAAGGAAGAACGAGUGUGAGAAUGGAAAGUUCAUACUGUGACGGUACUUAACCAGAAAGGGACGGCUAACUACGUGCCAGCAGCCGCGGUAAUACGUAGGUCCCGAGCGUUGUCCGGAUUUAUUGGGCGUAAAGCGAGCGCAGGCGGUUAGAAAAGUCUGAAGUGAAAGGCAGUGGCUCAACCAUUGUAGGCUUUGGAAACUGUUUAACUUGAGUGCAGAAGGGGAGAGUGGAAUUCCAUGUGUAGCGGUGAAAUGCGUAGAUAUAUGGAGGAACACCGGUGGCGAAAGCGGCUCUCUGGUCUGUAACUGACGCUGAGGCUCGAAAGCGUGGGGAGCGAACAGGAUUAGAUACCCUGGUAGUCCACGCCGUAACGAUGAGUGCUAGGUGUUAGGUCCUUUCCGGGACUUAGUGCCGCAGCUAACGCAUUANCACUCCGCCUGGGGAGUACGACCGCAAGGUUG